rnacentral:ncRNA from 1 species
ACAAAGGCUUGGUCCUGACUUUACUAUCAGCCAUAACACAACUUACACAUGCAAGUAUCCGCGGCCCUGUGAGGAUGCCCUUAAUCCCCUGCCCGGGGACGAGGAGCAGGCAUCAGGCUCAAUUUUUGGCCCAAGACGCCUUGCCAUGCCACACCCCCAAGGGAAUUCAGCAGUGAUAGACAUUAAGCUAUGAGCAAAAAGCCCGACUUAGUCAGUGUUAAGAGGGCCGGUAAAACUCGUGCCAGCCACCGCGGUUAUACGAGAGGCCCUAGUUGAUAGAUACGGCGUAAAGGGUGGUUAAGGAUAACAAAAAUUUAAAGCCAAAGGGCCUCCUGGCCGUCAUACGCUUCCGAGUGUCCGAAACCCAAAUACGAAAGUAGCUUUAACAUAAGCCCGCCUGACUCCACGAAAGCUGAGAAACAAACUGGGAUUAGAUACCCCACUAUGCUCAGCCAUAAACCUAGACGUUAAAUCACAACAAACGUCCGCCAGGGCACUACGAGCGUCAGCUUAAAACCCAAAGGACUUGGCGGUGCCUUAGACCCCCCUAGAGGAGCCUGUUCUAGAACCGAUAACCCCCGUUAAACCUCACCACUUCUAGUCAUUCCCCGCCUAUAUACCGCCGUCGUCAGCUUACCCUGUGAAGGCCUAAUAGUAAGCAAAAAGGGCACAACCCAAAACGUCAGGUCGAGGUGUAGCGUACGAAGUGGGAAGAAAUGGGCUACAUUUUCUAUUAUAGAAUAUACGAACAGCACUAUGAAAACUAAUGCUUGAAGGAGGAUUUAGUAGUAAAAAGGAAAUAGAGUGUCCUUUUGAACCCGGCUCUGAGGCGCGUACACACCGCCCGUCACUCUCCCCUGUUAAAUAGCCACCAACGUAAAUAACAACAAAGCACCAACAAGGGGAGGCAAGUCGUAACAAGGUAAGUGUACCGGAAGGUGCACUUGGAUCAACCC